AUUAAAGGUAGAGGUGGGGCUGGGACAUGGGAAGUAGCCUGAUUCCAAGAUUAAUAGUAUCACUGGUAAUUCUCUGUCCCCCUGAGGUUCUGCCCUGUUUUUCAGGAGGUGACAAACAUUCUGGGCCCAGAUGAACAUGUGCAGAAGAGCCAACAGGUGCAUUUGGUUCUGUUUGGCUCCACUGGGGUAUUUGGUUUCAUUAUUUCCAGCACAGACAUGCUGGAUACAUUCCUCACAGGUGAGACGCGAAAACUCGGUAAAGACAUCGAGUCAGCAAAUAGCCUUAAGUUUGCUAUGAGCUACAUGGAGCAAGGGGAAUUUGUUUUCAAAUGCACCACAUUACACUAGGGAGUCCUCAUUUUACAGGAAAUCUUGAAUGUGACCCUAUAUUCAGAGGGACAUUAAUUGGCUGCACUUUCAAACCCCUCGGGCACCUGGGAAUUAAGUAGUUGAUAAUUAUUAGAUCACUCCAGCCUUCCAAGAAACUAGUGGAGGAUUCUGUAUCUUCUCAGAUCAAUGCACUGACAAGAAAGGGCCUGAUGCUUCUCUCCCACCACUAGACUCUUGAUUUCAGUUAGGUCACUCCUGCUUGACACUGAUCUCAGUGAAAGCAGAGUUGGGUCCCCAGAGCAGAAAGAUGGGAGGGAAGUGCCUUUACAUUGUCAUGGGGUAGGUGUUGUCUGACGCUGCCUCUUUGGCAUGUGUUCUUCUGGCAAUGCUCCUACUCCUGUCCUCUUUUUCUCCAUUGCCUGCCCCAGGAGAUUUGUGGCUGGAUCUGCCAUUGCAGAGAGUUCGGUGUGGCAAGCAGACUGCCUCCUCCAAGGAUACCCAUCCCUUACCCUGCAUCCCCAACCCUAUUGUGUGUUUGAAUGUGGGAGAUACCAUCCUUUUCCAGCUCACCAUCCAUCCCCGCAAUCGCACUUCCAGCCACUACCCCAUCUAUCAGAAACAACAUCUGUACAACAGCAACCCUGUCUGGGAUUUUGGUCCUUUCCGAAGACUGGACCACCUUAUUCGGGAGACUCACCUCAACAUCUCCAGGUUUGCCCAUGUUUUCCUAGAUCCUGGGAGAUACGUUUUCAGGGAUAGCACCGUCCAGGAGCGUAUCUUGAUUGUGGCUGUAAAUGAGGAGAACAUGGGCUGUGACCCUGUCAAUGCUUCCUUCCAGCCCUCCUCUCCAUACCAGCUGGCCAGACAUGGCGUUCUGAAACAUCAUGCGCUAAAUUUAGCUCCUGACUGGGCAACUAUCUCAGCAGUGCUCUUUGUCCUGGGCUUCUUGAUGGUUGUGCUGAUGACCCUGGCUAUCAUGCUGAGGCCCCCCAUUUUUAGCCCCAGUCCCAUGAACAACUGGAAGCCACGGUGGAGGAGCCUGAGUGAGCCACACAUCCCACCUGAGUACAUCUUCAUUAAAGACAGCCUUCAGUUCUAUGAAGCCCUUGGUCCCCGGGGUUCUGGAAGAGGAGCUGAUGCUGGAGAGAAAGGAGUUAUCCAUGGUCCAGGCCAGCAGCCCGCACUGAGGGACCUGGAAGAUUUCAGCGUCCGCACCCUAUAUGAUAAACUGGAGGACCAAAACCUUCACCUGGCUUCUCAGAUGGCAAAACACAGGGUGGAUGUGUUGGCCUUUUACAGGGCGAUCAGCCAGAGGAUCCAGGGUCUGAUGGACAUGGUGCAAACUCUGGACUCUGAAGGGCUGAAAGGCCUCUCCAGGCAAAGCAUCUCAGUGCAUAGAACCCAGGGGAGCACCCAGGCGGCCAUGGGCAUUGGGCGAAAUGACGAAUUGACCAGCAGAGACUUUCAAGCAAUGGGCCACACAGGUGCUGAGUGGCGAGAGGCAACAGAGUUAAUGAAAGCUCUGAAAAUCCUACUUGGUAAAGUCCAUUAUGAGAAGACAAUUGUGAAGCAAGAGCCAUCACAGCACAUACAGGGACAGGAUAGGACCGCAGAAUCCAGCCUGGCCAGUCAAAGGAAAGCAGGAGCAGAGGGAGGGCAGGAUCCUGGCGGGCUCCAGCACUACGGAUGCUCCAAUAAGAAAGGCCCCUUUGUCACCUGCGAAGAACAAGGUCUAGGUCCUCAGCCUGGGAGGGCCAUGCUGGUCUGUCUGACUGAGCUUGAGGUGGAGAGUCUGAUGGCAACUUCCCCCCUUGCCAGGACCCUGCGUGAGAUCAGGCAGGCUUUGGAG
ensembl:lncRNA